ACUUGAAAGCUAUUGUUUUAGUGUAUUUUCUCUUGUAGUGUUGGCAAUAAAAAAUUAUCCAUUAUGAGUCAUAUGUCUAUUUGCCAUCUGUCAAACAUCAAAAGAAAACAAGAUUUUGACGUUAGUUUUAGGUAUUCUGCAUUUGGAAUGAACUUUUUAAUUCUGAAACAAUAAUACCAAAUAAUAAAGAUGAGUGCGAGUGACGAACCGAUAUUUUCCAAUAAAGAUGAGGAAAUUUUGUACUGGAAGCAUUUGGCUGCAGAAUAUCUACAAGAUGCACAGAGAAUACAGAAAGAAUCUGAUGAAUUUAUAGUGGAAUCUCAACAAUUGGACCGAGAAUAUGAAGCAACUAUAGACCAAGAUGAAAAAAAGAUUAGAGAACUGACAUUAGCAAAUAACAAAGCUCAGAAUGAAAUUGAAUCAUUAAGAAACAAACUAGAACAAAGUAAUAAAGAAAUAGGUAGCUUACAAAAUGAAGUACAGAAUAUAAAGACAGAGAAACUACAGAUGUCCCAGUAUAUUAGAGAUUUAGAACAGAAAAAUGAUGACCUAGAAAGGGCCAGGAGAAUUAUAGAAGAAAGCAUAGCAGGUAUAGAAACUGCCUUUAAUUCUGCAGUGGAAAGAAAUGCUAUAUUAGAAUCAGAAGUUGAUGAAAAAGAAGGCCUUAAAGAAAAGUUACAGAGAUUAGCAGAUGAAACUAGAGAUUUAAAACAAGAACUUUCAGUUAAAGAAAAAGAAAGGGGACCCGACAACGAACGAAUAUUAAACGGUUUUCAAAAGGCCAUCAUGGAUUCGAAUCGACUCAAAGAAAAUGAGACCCAAACCACCCCAGCAAAACAUGAUUAUCAAGCUCCCAUAUCACCAGCAUCGAGGGUUAUGGCAUUGAAUAUUGUUAGUGACCUUAUUAGGAAGAUUGGAUUGACGAAAUGGCUGUGUUCGGAGUGUGGGCUGGUUAAAUGUACCUCGUGUGUGCCCAGCAGUCGAAAUAAUGGCACCUGUAAGGUGGAGAUACCGAGGGUUUAGAACGUAGAUUAGAAAAAUCGAAGUACGACUACAGAGAUCUUUCUACAAACGAUAAUAUUCGAAGGAGCAGGAGUUCGACAAAAAACAGCCCGUCUCCCAGUCUUCAAGGUGUUACGAAAUGAGAAGAACUAAUCUUUGUAAUUAAUACUUAUAUAAGAUAAUCAGUUAUAAAUAGGUGACAUUAUGUCGUAGAAAGGCGACUUACAAAAAACCACAUUUUCGUCUAAAAGAAUUAGAAUAGGUAAAGUAAGUGUACAAUACAGUGGCGGCACGUAAAGGUGGAUAGAUAUAUUGAUGUCUUCUCUAUAUUGUUCACAGUUUAGAAGUUUUUGGGAAAUAAAUUUGAUUUUUGCAUGGAAAUCCUUGAAAUUAUCACGGAAACAGACGUAUGGUAUGGUACAUCGGGGCAGGGCCCACUUGUGAGCCCUUCGGACACUUAGACCUCCUACGGCGGGUCCAUUGUACCCCUAUCUUACGGACCAGGUCCAUAAGAACCUGGUCUUCGGCGUUCCUGGAUCCCAGGCUGCACCAGGCUCCCAUGUCUGUCAGAAUCAGCAGGGUCUGCAAAUCUGAGCUCCUGCCGAUGCUAUCCCGAACGUCGAAUCUCCCAAAAACCUUAUGGCCUCACCUCACCUGGCUCGGCUGCAUAGAUGCCGAUCCCAGGAUCUGCCACCUCUGAUAGGCCAAUGCCGGGCAUUCCCAGAGGACAUCUGAGGAGGUUUCCUUCUCCUCAUUGUAAUCCAAGCAGACGAAGGUGCUGUCGGAGUCUACGGUGGCCGGUGAGCAUACUGACCACCAGGGAGCAUCUUCUACGAUAUCUAGAAGAAGCAGUUGGACUGCGACUUUUGGAUGCGUCUACGGGAACAGACACCUUAUUCUUCUCUAGAGUAUUUCGGACUUUAUGUUCCAACAUUUAAAGUGUGGUAGGUGUUGAAGUUGGUAAUCAGGUAUUGGACAGACUACUGAUUCGAGAGAUAUCUGGGUAUUCUUUUUCUCAUAGGCAUCUUUCAGUGCGUCACAGUUUUUCGAUUUCUUUCUAACGCAUUAAAUUGUAUGCGACAGAAAAAAAAGCACAUCCGUGAUUACAGACAUUUAUAACAUUUAUUCUAGUUGUCGAUAUAUGGCGCUAUAAUCGAAAAAAAAAAAAUUAUUUACGAAUUAUAUAAUAUAUCUACUAAUAUAAUCUGUACAAUUUAUAAGACUAUACAAAUCAAAGAAAAUACCAUUUCGUAAAUGCAAUAAACACAAUUGAUUUGUUUUUAUGCCAAAUUGCAAAUAAAAUGUGACAACUGCCACAUUUAACUAAAAUGUCAUGUUAGAAUAAAUGUUAUAAAUGUGUAUUAUCACGGACUUACCUUUUUUUCUAUCAUUUGUGACGCACUGAAAAAUGCCCAUGAAAAGGAUCAUACCUUUCCCAAUCAGUAAAGAAAGUAGGUGGGACCUGAAAAAUUAAAUUUACGGAUUAAAAACGCCAUUUUGGCGGGUUUUUCCCUCCCAGGCUUUAAGAAUUCAAUUUUAGAGCAUUUGAAAUUAAUUCGUGCCGAUAAAAUAGGGCGGGACUGCUGGAGACACAUUUGUCCGAAUAGUGAUCAUUUUGUGCUUCGCAGGUAAAUGUACAAAGUCCAAUAAUGACUCAUUUUAUAGGAGUAACGCUCAUGUAAUGAAAUUCGACAUCUUUUCUGUUUGUCUAAUAUUACGAGCAUUACAGUCCUUUAUACAGAGUGAGUUUUAUGUAUGGAACGCCUCAAUGAUCUUGGAAACGGUUUGCACAAUUUUUAUAGAUUUUUGGUGUGUAGGGGUCUUGUGAUGCGGCCGAUAGUAAGUUGGUAUUUACAUUGUUGUCAGAUCUUCCGUUUUUCUGGAAAUGUAAUGAACUUUCUUAGUUCAAAAGUCCUUGAGAAAUACUGAUUCUGUUUGUGUAAUGUAAUGUUACCUAUACCUAAAUACCAUAAUUUUGGAGCUAUAGCUACAUUUACAAGUUAAAAUUCAUUGGCACUUUCAUUGUGUGAUGACACACGCAUAUGAAUCGCUGACGAAGACAAGAGCAGUUUCCUCUAAAUAUUAAAAAAAUGAUCAGACAGAAUAUAUAUACUGAAACUGUUUCGAAAAGCCGCCACUGAUUCUAUUAUCUUGAUAUAACACGUAGCAUCCAUUAUAUUGAUACUCCUGAAACAACAAUUUAUCAGCUAGAUAGUUUAAUCUAGGCCCAACUUUGAUCUAAUAUAGUUCAUAUUCAAAAGCUUUGUACAUAUGAUAUAUAAUACACAAUUCUUAUCUAAAAUUAGAAACUACUGUUUUAUCUAGUACCUACUUAGUACUACACUCGUAAGAAAACAAAAUAAAACAUAAAUGUACUCAAUUUACUUCCGGAACAACAUUAUGUGGUAAAAAAUUAAACGUUACAGAAAAAAAGGACUGUGAUGUCUUUAAAAUACAAGAGAUGUUAUUAAGACACUUAUUACGAAUACUUGAUGUAAGGAACAUCUCUCUUUUUUUCUUCAUUCUUCAUCACUUAUAUUAGAAGGAUCAUAAAACUUAUUCAUUCAAAAUUUUUUAAACAGAUCACUUUUAAUGAAAUACCACUCAUUUAAAGCUAUAAAAAACUUAAAAGCGAUUAGGACGCUAGAUGGCAGCAGCAGGCGCAAAAUAGCUUAUACCUCUAAUUUUUUUACAUAUAUUUUUACGAUUCUUUUGAUUUAUGUACACAAUGACACUAACAUCCCUGGUGUUUUAGAAAUAUCAUGUAACGUUCGCCACACUCAUGUGGUUGUAGAUUGAAAAACUGGGACAAUGUCCAGAAUACGCUCCGGUGAAGAUAGCUACAAAUGAUGAAUGACAACGAAAUAUUGAAAUCAUUAGUCAAUGGACCGUGAUAGUGUGACGUCAAAACGUGAAAAAGGUUUCCAAACAAAGCAACUGUCAAUUGAUUAUACACGUGGUUUGUGUAAUCAUUUUUAAUUUUAUUUGGUUUUAACAAACAUCUGCACAUUUUUUCUAAAGACACAAUCCUUGUUAGUCAUAUCAAUCAUAUUGCUUUUAAUUUUAUAAAUGUCCUUACACAUAAUCAAGAAUUUACACGCUACAUAGUACUUACUGCGUUUCUUCAGGUUUUUAACCAGUCCUAUUUGGAAUUAUGGUGGGAAAUAUACUAUGAGCAUUGAUUACAAUCACGGGUACCCAACACAUUACCAUUUUGUAAAAAUUAAAUAUCCUACAAGCAAUAUAUUCCAAUUAUAAAAACGAAAGCAAACACCAUUUGUGAAUUUUUGCUUUGUUUGGAAAACUUUUCAGAGUAGCCAACAUUGAUUUGAAGUCACGACUAUCACGGUCCAUUAUUAAACUUGAAAAACAUAAAAUCGUAAAAUAACGAGAAACAUUUUUCAUUUUCUUAGUGCAAAAUAAGUUAAUAGGUAUAUAUUUUUAGUUUGUUAUUAUCUAUAAUAUGAAAAUAAGCCACAAUCCUUAAUAUGUUUUAACAUUUGAAUAAGGUCAUGUAUAGUAUUUUUACUACAAAAGCGAUAUUACGUAGGUCAAAAUUUUUGACGUAAGAGAACUGUCAAAACAUUAGAAUGUGACUUUUCAUUCGCUUUUGUAGUAAAAAUACUAUAAUCGUUUUCUUUCAUUAAAUUAAAUAAUAUUAAUUAAUGUGACCUUUAUUUCUUUAUUAUUUUAUUAUUCUUCAGUUUAUUUUAAAAUAUUUAAGAUUCUCUGUUUUUUGGCCCUUGAUGCAAGUUUUGGCUCAACACACAGAGUAAACAUUUUUAAAUUUAACAUUUUGUGAAUUCAUAUUUAGGAACAUUCAUCCCAAAAUAAUAAAUAAAUGGUCAUAAAAUUGAUAUCUGUUGAACAUAAUAUGUGGCAAUUUGACAACUGGGGUUUUGAGAGUUCAGGCUCUAUUGCCAAAUUUAUCCGUUAAUCUAUCAAAGGGUAAUUGCCAAACAUUUUUUUAAUAAUUAAAUUGCACAUAUCAUUGCAAUAUCCAUAAAAUAAUAUAAUAAAAAUGUACUUUUUCAAAGCUUUCUCUCUGUAUAUUUGAAGCAUACAACUUACACAUUAUACGCUGUGAGCUCGUACGUAGAGGGGAUAUUUAAAAAUUCGCGAGCGCUAGUAGUGACAAGUCUGUAAAUGUUUACUGGAAAUUUGACAUAAAUGUCAAAGUGAUUAAUUUAAAAUUAAAAUUAAAAACAUCAAUUAUAAAAAAUAUUAGUUGGUCAAAGCUGUGGUAUAUAUUUUUACCUUAAAUAUACUUACGUUUUAAAUACUGAAUUUAAGUUUUUUAAUGUUCCGUAAUAUGUAAUUAUAAAUUAAUCUAUUAAUCUUGGCGCCAUCUACACGAUAAUUGUAAAAGUAUCCGAAGUAAGAAAUUAAUAUUUCAUCAAUAGAACGUCAAAAUGAUUAGCAAAAUCUUAAAAAAAUCGAUUACAAUUUAAUUACUUUUUUGCGUUGUAAAUAUUAAGCGAUAACAAUUAAAUAAUAAAUUUAAAAAUUACCAGUGAAAGUUGAAUUAGUCAUCCGCUAGGAGCGACACCAGCGAAGCUCAGAGCGUAUAAGGACAUGGCAGCACUGCCAUACGCAGGUAUUUCGUUCUGUGGUCAUCAUUUGUAACUAUCUUCACCGGAACCUAUUCAGGACCCCGAUUUUUGACCCUUCGCUUCGUUAUCGAUCAUUCGCUAUCUGUAUCUGUAGAGUGUACAGAUAGCGAAUGGUCGAUAACGAAGCGAAGGGUCAAAAAUCGGGAUCCUUGCCAUUGCCCAAAAACGGAUACUGCUGUGUAUAUUAUUAUUAUUUUUGUCUGUAAGUAUCGUAAAGUGUUUCUACGACAUAAUGUAUUAUUAGGAAUAUUUGAUUAUAUUCAACCUUCAAAAAUUCCGUUGAUAUGCGUCGAAUAUCAACGCGAAUUUUCUGAUCCAGUCGUCAAUGGUGUUUAUUUUUUUAUGUCACGCAAUUAUGACAUAAAUCAAGUAAUUUAUUGUUGUAUAUUUAAUUUUUUUUUUACUUAGGUUGCCAGUGAAAUUUGGCAAGAUCCAAAUUUAGGUUUAGUCGUAAUUAAAGGAUAGUCAGUAGUAAUUAAAUACAGAAAAUAAUUAUUUAAAGACGAUCUUUUCGAUUUUCGAUCGUAUUUCAUAAGUAUGUACAAGUUUUUUUCUACAGUUACAGUUACACUAAUAAUUUACAUUUGUAUGUGUGCUUUAAUUUUUGCUUCGAUGAGAUUUCUCAGUUUUCUGAGGUGUAACUCAUCUGUUGUGUUGAUACAUUCGGAAUGUUUUUCCAUCUCAGCGGCCUCCCGAAGAAUACUUGGUUCGAGAAAACCAAUCAUAACUUCCUGAGCUAUGUUCCAGGUACUCUGUGAGUAUUUUUCAGAAUAAGUGAAAAUUAUGUUAUUAAAUUUUUACAAUACAAUUUGCAGAUAAUUCAAGAUACCGGUUGUUCAAUCACUUUUUAUUUGAGUUGCUCCUGAUAUCCUGUUUCUAGGUUGGGCUUGGUAGAACUCCCUUUUUCAUUCUACUUUCUCCAAUUAAUUUUCUAACACCUUCUAAACUGAUGUAACUGUGAUUUUUAAACUGAAUUGUAGAAAAAUAUUUGUAUUAUGUAAAAAUAAUGCAGGAUGUUCAGGCUUAUAUUAUUACUGAAGAAAAUAAAUCACAGUUUACUCUUGUACCUAAAUCAUUUUUAAACUUGUGAAAGUCACAUUUAUGACGAAACGUCGUAUCAUUAUCCUUUGUCAAUUGUCAAAUGUCAGUUGUCGCUUGUCUAUAUUAAGGCAUUUUUGGAUCUACAGAACGUCCUGCAUGUUAUAUUUGGUGUGAUACUCUAGGUGUAUAUAACGAGUUGUAUUUUUUUAAACAAAAAUGUAAUUUAUAAUAAUUAUUUUAACCUGUUUUUGUAAUUUGGAUAUUGCUUAAAUUUUCGUAUUAUUUAGUUGAUCUAUUUUGAGAAAGGCGACGGAAAUUUAGUUGUAAUUUGUAAUAAAAGCGAUAUAAUUUCUUAAUCUUUGUUAUAAUAACCGGGACUAUAAUUGUUUCGAAAAAUAUGAGUUGUUUAAUGGUCUGAAAAAUAGCGAACGGAUCGAAAUAAAGGUACAGUGUUAGCGUGUUACGUUUAAAAUCGGAAAUAGUCACAUGGGCUUAAAUCUGCCAAACACGGUGGAUGGUGCAUUAAUUCUUAUCCUAAAUUAUAUAUUGUCUAUACAAGAGGAUCACAAUUCUAGUGACAACUAACAUGCUGAUGGCAUUAGUGACUUUUACUUUAAUACAAACGCUUCUGUCCAAUAACACGAUUCGCUCGCUGUUUAUCAGAUUUCCAAUUAUUGAGAGUAACAUAGUUCCCUAAAUGUGUAUUUAGACGUAUACGAUUUAUAAAAAAUAAAAAAAUAUAGCGAAAGUAAAAUUAUUAAAACAAUUCAUGAAGACCCACUCCUAACCACCUUUUUAUUCAACUUUUUUUAGCAUCUAGCCCGAAAAUUAUCCAGAGUUAGAUUAUGUGGAUAUUUUGAAACUUUAUAAGAUGCGACACCAGUUAUUUAGUGUAAAAGACUUUUUGAAAUUCGAAAAAUGAAGUUUCUAGCUGUCAAUUUCAUUAGAUGACGCAUUUUGACCAUUAAGAACCGUACUAGAGGUCACUUGUGCCAACUUUGAAACGAAAUCACUUUUGGACACAGUGUAAGAACACAAAGUGUUUUUAUUUUUGUACGCGCCAACAUAUAUCGUAAACAUUUGCCAAGGAAGCAAAGGUUAUACAACUUGAUAUCACGGAGAAUAUAAAUUGAUUGGAGAGCAUACUUAUAACAUGAUCCACAGAAAAAUUUUUAGGUAAAUGAAGUGUAAAAUAAAGUAAUUUUCAAUUAUGCUUCAGUAACUCUUUAUAACACUUCAAGAAGGUAUAAACAUAACAUUUUUGAUUCCAUUUUUACAGAUUCCAAAAAUGUGCUGACGUUUUUUACUUUCGCACGUACUGACGACAAGAUCUCUUGCGGUUGUUCGAUCUGUCUCUCUCUCUCUCUCUCUCUCUCUCUCUCUCCCACCAAAAAGAGACGCUAUUAUACUUGAUGUAAAACAGAGACGCAAUGAACAACGAAAAACGAUGGCGUCGUAUGUCCGAAAAACCAGUGACACCAAUAUGGAGACUUUUGGUAGAUGUCAAACUAAGUUUGGAGACUAUGUGCAGCCUAAGUCUGACGUCACAAAUGUCACAAAAUUGGGAGGAGCUUAUAUUGAAUCCAAACAAUUUUGUUUGUAACGUUAAAUUGACAUAAGGAAUUUUUCAUUUAUGUGCUUUGUGUGGCAAAAUAAGACUUCAUUUAGGUCUUUCGUUAAAGAAACGUGUUAAUAAAGAGAUUUUUAUUCGUUUUUGCUCAGGUGGUUUUUAUUCCUUAGUGGUUGAAAAUAAACAUAACCUCAAAACUGUUUACGUUCUUAUCAUUGCAUUAAAUUAACUCACCUGGGCAAAAACGAAUAAAAAUCUCUUAACUGACACGUUUCUUUAACUAAAUACCUAAAUGAAAAGUCUUAUUUUGUCACACAAAUCACGUAAACAAUAAAUGAAAAAUUCCUUAUGAGUGUUUAACCUUAUAAACAAAAUUGUUUGGAGUCAAAUAUAAGCUCCUCCCAAUUUUGUGACGUCAAGACUUAGGCUACGGCUCCACGGGCGAGAAAUUGACGCUAGCAGUAGCCGUAAAACGAACUUAAGGUUCCGCGGAACGAAAUAGGAGUAGCCGAACUGAACCGACUACGCACAAGUCGUGUAGUCGGUACAGUUCGGCUAUUCCUAUUCCGUUCCGCGGAACCUUAAGUUCGUUUUACGGCUACUGCUAGUGUCAAUUUCUCGCCCGUGGAGCCGUAGCCUUAGGAUGUCCAUUUAGCAUACCUUCUGUUCAUUUUAUAUUCUUCGUGAUAAUUGUACAAAUGGUGUCCAUCUACUAUUUAUUUUAAGCUUUAAGAGAAGUGAAUGUAAAUAUAAAAAUUAUCAUUUAUAUUAUCUUUUUUGUACACGUCUAUUGACACUAUUUAUACAUAAGCGCUCUCUGUGUACAUAGAAAUUGUUUGUUUUUAUAUUAGGUACAAAUUGUAAUAAUUUAAGAUAUACUUACUACAUUCAGUUGUGUAUAUUCAGGCAUUUAGUAUGAAAAAUAAAACGAAUGGUAACGA